rnacentral:lncRNA from 1 species
AGGAUACCAAGUUCCUCCUUUGGGGCCAGUAAGAAAGCAUCAGCCUCUGUCUCUUCUUCCUCUCUGUCCUGCGUCCGUGUGAAAGAAUUGCUGGGAUGCAUCUGCCAUUAAUUCGGUGAUGCCGAACUGCUGCAAUCAGGGCUCGCUGUCUAUCCUUGCCUCGAAGAUAUUCAUCCGGAAGUCUAUUAUGGAUGAGAUCACCAACUCCUAUUGAAGAGAGAAAAAACUUUUUACAUAAAUUUAAAGUCUUUCUAUAUUAUUUCUAUCUUUUAAAAAAAGUGAGAGAUCUAGCAACCUCUGUGAAUGAAAGAAACAUCUAACUCUGACAUGAUUAUGCAGCAUGUCAGAAAAUCCUUAUGUACUCUAAAGUACAUAAAUUAAUUGAUAAAAAUUAAUAUUCCUGGUUUAUGUUACCUCUCUGCUCAAGAAGAAAAUCUAAAAGAAUGAAUUUUGUGUGGACAUCACCAACCGCACUCAACUGUCAAGUCUUUUCCCUGGACAGUGAAGUUCUUGCUUGACUACCUCUUGGCCAUUUGUCUACAGUGCUGAGGAUCUGAAAGCUAGGGCUGAUUCCAGGUGGGGACCACUCAGUGUGCCUUGGAACUGACUAAACUGGGAGAGCCUUGUAAAAAUUAAAUUAUCUACCCUCUCCUAUGUGAGUUUCCAGUUGGCCGUCAGUCUGCAUACCAACUUCCCAUUUCUCAGCCUUGCUUCCACUCAUGCCACCACCAGCACUAGAGGCCUGCCUCCCUUCACGGCUCCAUUAACUAAGAGUCCUGACCCACACCCCAACUAGAGUUGACCAUGCUGCUCCAGAUGUGGCGGCUCGGUGGAUAUCGCCAGAGGAGACCUCCUGCCUCUCUUCAUUUUCCCUGGCGUACACACAUCUCCCAUCUUUCUGCCAGGACUCUCAGCUUUCUCUUCCUUUUUUAAUUCAUCAAUUCAUGCUAUAAAUAUUGAUGAAAGAUGUCCUAUGUGCUGGACCCUGAGGAUCCAACAGACAGCAAGACAGAGCACCCACCAGCAUGAAGCUUGCCCUCAAACAGGCAGAAUUUACCAUGAUUACCUACUUCUUUUUCAAGCUAAUUGAUGGUUUCCUAAUCAUCCCUUACCCUCUUCAAAAGAUAUUAAAGCCUCUAAGAUGGAUAGGCAUCCAUCAAACAUUAGUAGUUUGUGUAAAAACAGAACCCAAAUACAAUUUCCUAAUGUAGUAAUUAAUGAUGCUCCAAACCACUGUCUUGCAUAAGCUCAAUAAAUAUUUAUUCUACCUGUCAAUGAGUUGACUUUAGCCAAAACAUUUUUCAUAGUGGUUCUUAAACGUUAGUGUAUAUAAGAACCUACUGAAUCAGAAUAUCUAGGGCAUGGGUCCCAGGAAGGUGCAGAUUUAAUAAACUCCCUGGAUGAUUUUAAUGCAGGUAGUCUGCAGCCCAUGUUUUGAAAACCACUGAUAUACAGCCCAAUCCUGAUAAGCUGUAGCAUAUUUUUCCCUUUGGAUAUCUGCUGUUUAGAUUGGCUAGAAAUAAAGACAAAAUCCAAGUAAGUUUCUUCUGCUACUUUAUGUAUUGAUUGAUUGAUCAACUUACUGGCUAGCUGGCUGGCUGGUAGGAAAAGAGUGGUUCUUAAUUAUGUGGUUGUAGAGUACAGUGCUUUCUCAUAUUUGAAUGUGCUUAAAAUUCACCUGGAAAUAUAGUUAAAAUGCAGUUUCUGAUUCAAUAGUUCUGGGAUGGGGCCUGAGAUUCUGCAUUUCUAAGGAGCUCCCAGGGGAUGCCAAUACUGGCAGUCUGCAGACCACACUUUGAGACGUUAGGACUAGGACAAUAUCCAAAUUAAUUAAAAAGCUGCCCCACUUCACUUUGGCUUGUUUAAUAUAGGCCAUAUUUAUUUUUCCUAAAUAAAAUUCAAAGCCUUAACUACACUUACAGUACUUAUUACAAGGGCUUCCAACUGUACCUAUUUCAAACAUAAUAUGAAAAAAAAUUUACUUCUGUGUUAUACACUUUUCUCAUUAAUGUUAAUGCAACAUUUUAAGUCUUUAAAAUUAGAAGCUUUGAAAUAAGGAGAUGGUGAGCUUAACUGCAUAACUUUGUGGGGAUUUUGUUGCUGUUUGUUUGGGGUUUUUUACGGAGAAAGUGUGUAUAUUUACCAUAUUCCUCAGGACGGAGACAAGCUCCAAAUGUGCAGUCUGGGGGAACAUUCAUUGUUUCUGCAAUGCUAUCAAAGAAAACAAAUCCUUAGUUAAAAUACCCACCACAUGGCAUCUCUGGAAUUUAAAAUAUGUUUGCCAUAUGUUCUUAGUAGCCCAUAUUUUAUCUCAUAACCAAACUAUGAAGAUCAAACAAAAGUUCUCCAAUAGAUCUUUUGUCUGAUCUUCCACUUGCAUUAACAAUGACUGAAUGUUUUCACCCUCUUUCAGGAGCCCAGAAUUACAAAGAAAAGCAGAACACACAGAACACAUUCAAAGCAAAAUUACCAAAGUAUAAAUAGAGAGCAAGACAGACAGACAGGAAAGACAAAGAAAAAUAUAAACACAGUAAGUUAAAUCUCUGAUAUCCCAGAAAUAAUGCUUUAUGCAAAAUUAUCCCUCUCUCUUCUCCAGUGCCUUCUGCAUUUUGGAGAACUCACUGCUUUCCUGGAAUCCCAAAUUCUAUAGAUAUUAACAGAUUAACUGAUUAACAAUAAAAUAAUGAUUUUCUUAUUUAAUAGAUAGAAUCUAAUAGGCACACCAACAGUUACC